rnacentral:rRNA from 1 species
CAGCAGCCACGGUAAUACGAAGGGUGCAAGCGUUAAUCGGAUUUACUGGGCGUAAAGCGUGCGUAGGCGGCUUUUUAAGUCGGAUGUGAAAUCCCUGAGCUUAACUUAGGAAUUGCAUUCGAUACUGGGAAGCUAGAGUAUGGGAGAGGAUGGUAGAAUUCCAGGUGUAGCGGUGAAAUGCGUAGAGAUCUGGAGGAAUACCGAUGGCGAAGGCAGCCAUCUGGCCUAAUACUGACGCUGAGGUACGAAAGCAUGGGGAGCAAACAGGAUUAGAUACCCCCGUAGUCCCUGUCUCUUAUAC